AGUGAGAAACUCCCUCGCCGAAAGUCUAAGGUUUCCUGAAGUCAAGUUAAUCUGCUCAGGGUUAGUCGGCCCCUAAGGCGAGGCUGAAAAGCGUAGUCGAUGGGAAACGGGUUAAUAUUCCCGUACCUCCAUAUGUUCCGAUGGAAUGACGCAUAGGGCGAAGCUCAGCCGGGCGAUGGUAGUCCCGGUUCAAGCAACGAGCUGAAGAGAAUGAUAGGCAAAUCCGUCAUUUGAGGUGAGUUGUGAACACGAGCGAACCUACGGGGGAGCGAAGUGAGUGGAGUCGUCGUGCCAAGAAAUAAUUUCUCAGGAUAAACAUAUGGGGACCGUACCGCAAACCGACACAGGUAGGCGAGCUGAAUAUGCUAAGGCGCUCGGAAGAAUUCGCGUUAAGGAACUCGGCAAAAUGCACACGUAACUUCGGGAGAAGUGUGGCCUUUGCUGGAAGUCAAAUUUUAGCGAAGGUUGCAGAGAACUGGUUCAAUCGACUGUUUACCAAAAACACAGGUCUGUGCGAAUCUGCAAAGAGAUGUAUACGGACUGACACCUGCCCGGUGCUGGAAGGUUAAGAGGAGCUGUUAGCGCAAGCGAAGCAGUGAAUUGAAGCCCCAGUAAACGGCGGCCGUAACUAUAACGGUCCUAAGGUAGCGAAAUUCCUUGUCGGGUAAGUUCCGACCUGCACGAAUGGUGUAACGACUUGGGCACUGUCUCAACCAGGAACUCGGUGAAAUUGUAGUGGCGGUGAAGAUGCCGCCUACCCGCGAACGGACGGAAAGACCCCGUGAACCUUUACUGCAUCUUGGUAUUGUAAUUUGGUAAAGUAUGUGUAGGAUAGGUGGGAGACUAAGAAUAUGGUACGCCAGUAUCGUAGGAGUCAUUGUUGAAAUACCACCCUUAUUUUAUUGAGUUACUAACGCGUUUAGUUAUCCUGAAUGCGGACAUUGCCAGGAGGGCAGUUUGACUGGGGCGGUCGCCUCCUAAAAAGUAACGGAGGCUUACAAAGGUUCCCUCAGGCUGGUUGGUAAUCAGCCGAAGAGCAUAAAGGUAUAAGGGAGCUUGACUGCGAGACCGACGGGUCGAGCAGAUGGGAAACCAGGUCUUAGUGAUCCGGCGGCUCUGAAUGGAAGGGCCGUUGCUCAAAGGAUAAAAGGUACUCCGGGGAUAACAGGCUGAUACCGCCCAAGAGUUCAUAUCGACGGCGGUGUUUGGCACCUCGAUGUCGGCUCAUCACAUCCUGGGGCUGAAGCAGGUCCCAAGGGUAUGGCUGUUCGCCAUUUAAAGUGGUACGCGAGCUGGGUUUAGAACGUCGUGAGACAGUUCGGUCCCUAUCUACCGUGGGCGUUGGAGACUUGAGGGAAGCUGUUCUUAGUACGAGAGGACCGGAAUGGACACACCUCUGGUGUUUCGGUUAUGACGCCAGUCGUAUUGCCGAGUAGCUAUGUGUGGAAAGGAUAACCGCUGAAAGCAUCUAAGCGGGAAGCCCCUCCCAAGAUUAGGUCUCCCUGACAGUUUAACUGUCCUAAAGAUCCCUCGGAGACUACGAGGUUGAUAGGCACGGUGUGGAAGAGUAGUGAUACUUGAAGCUAACGUGUACUAAUUGAUCGUGAGGCUUGACCAU
rnacentral:rRNA from 1 species